rnacentral:tRNA from 1 species
UCUCAGAUGGUCCAGUGGUCAAGAUUUCCGCCUGUCAGUUGGGGAAGGUGUAAAGUUCCAAGACUCAAGCCUGAAGCAACAAAACCAAAAAAAAACAACGCGCGGACGACCGGGGUUCGAUUCCCCGUCUGAGAG